rnacentral:piRNA from 1 species
UCAUGCAAUCGUGUAAGUUGA